rnacentral:rRNA from 1 species
GACGAACGCUGGCGGCGUGCUUAACACAUGCCAGUCGAACGGAAAGGCCCUGCUCUUGUGGGGCGCUCGUGUGGCGCACGGGUGAGUAAAACGCGAGUAACCUGCCCUUGACUUUCGGAUAACUUCAGGAAACAGGGGCUAUUAUAGGAUAGGAGCUCCUGCUGCACGGGGGUGGAUGGAAAGAUUCGGCGGUUGGGGAUGGACUCGCGGCUUAUCAGCUUGUUGGUGGGGUAGUGGCUUACCAAGCCUUUGACGGAUAGCCGGCCUGGGAGGGCUGCCGGGCACAUUGGGCCUGAGGGACGCAGCAGUAGCCAACCGGAGGCAACAGGGGGAAAUAUUGCGCAGUGGGCGGGAGCGUGAGGUGGCGGCGCCGCGUGCGGGAUGACGUGCUUCGGGUUGUAAACAGCUUUCGCAUGUGACGAAGCGUGAGUGACGGUAAUGGGUAAAGAAGCACCGGCUAACUACGUG